GUCAGAAUGGCCGAGCGGUCCAAGGCGCCAGACUCAAGGUUGUACACCUUCUCCAAAACUGAGGGAUUUCUGGUCUCCGAAUGGAGGCGUGGGUUCAAAUCCCACUUCUGACA
rnacentral:tRNA from 1 species